rnacentral:lncRNA from 1 species
AGGGGAGGAGUAGACUCCAUAUUCUGAUGGGGAAUGGCAUGUUCCCACAGUCAUCCCAGGUGUUUCCUUCAUCCCAGACAUCCAGACAUGUGGAAGAAGGAGGGAACAUAUGCAGCAUAUUUUUGAACAUGGCCUGAAAGGGGCACAUAGCACUUCAACUUACAGUCCAUUGACUAGAACUCGGCUACAGGGUCACACCUGACCUCAAGGGAGGCUGAGAAUGGAGCUUCUCUGUGGAUCCAGAAAAAAGAAGACAACAGGGUUCUUUGAGUUUUCUUAAAAAAAAAAAUCUAUUUGGACAGUCAGAAAUGAGCAAUGAAUGACCUUAUUGUACUGUGGCUGUUUGCCACGCUGAGUGGAAAGCUCCAGAGCCGCAAGACUGACAGGGGGUGAAAAUGCAUCUGAGAAGACAGAACCUUUUCCUAUCUUCAUCAUGUAUGUUUACAUAAUAAAAUCAUAUGCAUGAUUAUCAGAUGACUG